GAUGAACGCUGGCGGCGUGCCUAAUACAUGCAAGUCGAGCGAACAGACGAGGAGCUUGCUCCUCUGACGUUAGCGGCGGAGGGGUGAGUAACACGUGGAUAACCUACCUAUAAGACUGGGAUAACUUCGGGAAACCGGAGCUAAUACCGGAUAAUAUAUUGAACUGCAUGGUCCAAUAGUGAAAGACGGUUUUGCUGUCACUUAUAGAUGGAUCCGCGCCGCAUGAGCUAGUUGGUAAGGUAACGGCUUACCAAGGCAACGAUGCGUAGCCGACCUGAGAGGGUGAUCGGCCACGCUGGAGCUGAGACACGGUCCAGAGGCCUACGGGAUGCAGCAGUAGGGAAUCUUCCGCGAUGGGCGAAAGCCUGACGGAGCAACGCCGCGUGAGUGAUGAAGGUCUUCGGAGCGUAAAACUCUGUUAUUAGGGAAGAACAAAUGUGUAAGUAACUAUGCACGUCUUGACGGUACCUGAUCAGAAAGCCACGGCUAACUACGUG
rnacentral:rRNA from 1 species